rnacentral:rRNA from 1 species
UACAGAGGGGCAAGCGUUGUUCGGAAUUACUGGGCGUAAAGGGCGCGUAGGCGGCCUUCUAAGUCGAACGUGAAAUCCCCGGGCUCAACCCGGGAACUGCCUUUGAUACUGGGAUCGUCGAGUCCGGAGAGGUGAGUGGAACUGCGAGUGUAGAGGUGAAUUCGUAGAUAUUCGCAAGAACACCAGUGGCGAAGGCGGCUCACUGGCCCGGAACUGACGCUGAGGUGCGAAGCGUGGGAGC